rnacentral:rRNA from 1 species
AACACGUGGGUAACCUGCCUGUAAGACUGGGAUAACUCCGGGAAACCGGAGCUAAUACCGGAUAGUUCCUUGAACCGCAUGGUUCAAGGAUGAAAGACGGUUUCGGCUGUCACUUACAGAUGGACCCGCGGCGCAUUAGCUAGUUGGUGAGGUAACGGCUCACCAAGGCGACGAUGCGUAGCCGACCUGAGAGGGUGAUCGGCCACACUGGGACUGAGACACGGCCCAGACUCCUACGGGAGGCAGCAGUAGGGAAUCUUCCGCAAUGGACGAAAGUCUGACGGAGCAACGCCGCGUGAGUGAUGAAGGUUUUCGGAUCGUAAAGCUCUGUUGUUAGGGAAGAACAAGUGCAAGAGUAACUGCUUGCACCUUGACGGUACCUAACCAGAAAGCCACGGCUAACUACGUGCCAGCAGCCGCGGUAAUACGUAGGUGGCAAGCGUUGUCCGGAAUUAUUGGGCGUAAAGGGCUCGCAGGCGGUUUCUUAAGUCUGAUGUGAAAGCCCCCGGCUCAACCGGGGAGGGUCAUUGGAAACUGGGAAACUUGAGUGCAGAAGAGGAGAGUGGAAUUCCACGUGUAGCGGUGAAAUGCGUAGAGAUGUGGAGGAACACCAGUGGCGAAGGCGACUCUCUGGUCUGUAACUGACGCUGAGGAGCGAAAGCGUGGGGAGCGAACAGGAUUAGAUACCCUGGUAGUCCACGCCGUAAACGAUGAGUGCUAAGUGUUAGGGGGUUUCCGCCCCUUAGUGCUGCAGCUAACGCAUUAAGCACUCCGCCUGGGGAGUACGGUCGCAAGACUGAAACUCA